rnacentral:rRNA from 1 species
GGGUCCGCACAAGCGGUGGAGCAUGUGGUUUAAUUCGAUGAUACGCGAGGAACCUUACCUAGGCUCGAAUGCGAGUGCUACCUGCUGAAAAGCGGGGUUUCUUCGGAACACAAAGCAAGGUGCUGCAUGGUUGUCGUCAGCUCGUGCCGUGAGGUGUUGGGUUAAGUCCCGCAACGAGCGCAACCCUUAUUGCUAGUUGCCAGCAUUUAGUUGGGGACUCUAGCAAGACUGCCGGCGCAAGCCGUGAGGAAGGUGGGGAUGACGUCAAAUCAUCAUGGCCUUUAUGCCUAGGGCUACACACGUGCUACAAUGGACGAGACAAAGGGUCGCUAACCCGCAAGGGGGUGCUAAUCUUUAAAACCGGUCUCAGUUCGGAUAGGAGUCUGCAACUCGACUCCUUGAAGUUGGAGUCGCUAGUAA